rfam:Candidatus Melainabacteria bacterium GWA2_34_9 gwa2_scaffold_21241, whole genome shotgun sequence.
AAAUCCCUGAGUAGCCGAUUAGUUUUGAUCCUACAUUUAUUGUUAAUAGGGAGCCUUUCUCCGUUUUUUAUAGUGACGUAUACCUAAUUUACUUUAGGAAACGAAAAAUCUAUAAGGGUGGGCACCCAUCCUGGCUGAUCACCGGGAAUCAAAACAGCGGUUGUUCAGGGCUUUU